rnacentral:rRNA from 1 species
GUGAGGAAUAUUGGUCAAUGGGCGAGAGCCUGAACCAGCCAAGUCGCGUGAAGGAAGAAGGAUCUAUGGUUCGUAAACUUCUUUUGCAGGGGAAUAAAGUGCAGGACGUGUCCUGUUUUGUAUGUACCCUGAGAAUAAGGAUCGGCUAACUCCGUGCCAGCAGCCGCGGUAAUACGGAGGAUCCGAGCGUUAUCCGGACUUAUUGGGUUUAAAGGGUGCGUAGGUGGUUUGAUAAGUCAGCGGUGAAAGUUUGCAGCUUAACUGUAAAAAUGCCGUUGAAACUGUCGGACUUGAGUGUAAAUGAGGUAGGCGGAAUGCGUGGUGUAGCGGUGAAAUGCAUAGAUAUCACGCAGAACUCCGAUUGCGAAGGCAGCUUACUAAGCUACAACUGACACUGAAGCACGAAAGCGUGGGGAUCAAACAGGAUUAGAAACCCGUGUAGUCC